rnacentral:lncRNA from 1 species
UUUUUCUUCCAUUACUCUACAAGACAUGAAACAUUUUCCAACGUUGUUGCAAAACUUGCACGCACUCAUGGCGGAAAUAGAAGCUCAAACCUAUGUCAAACUCUUCCUCAUCUGGCUACUCUUCACCAUCGUGGUUCGCGCCAUACUCUGGUCCACGCGCCGCCAUCCCCGCCGUCCACCAGGGCCACCCUCUCUCCCCGUCAUCGGCCACCUCCACCUGAUCUCCGCCCUCCCUCACCAGUCAUUCCACGCGCUGGCCGCACGCCACGGCCCCAUCAUGCAGAUCUUCCUGGGGUCCGUUUCGUGCGUGGUGGUUUCGUGCCCGGAAAUGGCGAAAGAGUUCUUGAAAGCAC